rnacentral:rRNA from 1 species
UACGAAGGGGGCUAGCGUUGUUCGGAAUCACUGGGCGUAAAGCGCACGUAGGCGGAUCUUUAAGUCAGGGGUGAAAUCCCGGGGCUCAACCUCGGAACUGCCUUUGAUACUGGGGAUCUCGAGUCCGGGAGAGGUGAGUGGAAUUGCGAGUGUAGAGGUGAAAUUCGUAGAUAUUCGCAAGAACACCAGUGGCGAAGGCGGACUCACUGGCCCGGUACUGACGCUGAGGUGCGAAAGCGUGGGAGCAAC